GGCGGCAGUUGAGCAGCAGUUUUGUGCCGGUGUGGAUUUUAACAAAAUUUUUGUUUAGUUUGCUAAAUAAAUAUCGUUGAACUCGUUAAUUUAGAAUUAUUUUCAAAUUUCAAAGUUUAUUGUGCAUCAAUCACAUUGUGCAAUAAUGCCUCCCCACUCGCUGAACCUUGACAUGAAGACGGUAAAAAAGCAGGUCGUUCGGAAGUACACAAUUGCAGACUGCAAUUUGCAGUCGACGAGGUUUAGCAAAAACUGUGAAAUGGAUGUCCGAGCUCAAUUUUGCCUUAAACCAUGUAAAAGUUGAUAUUCAGAACUUAUCGGAUUAUUCUGCACUAUCGUUUGAGUAAAGAGAAUUAUACGAUACUUAUCUCCUUUGCAAGACCUAUUUCGAUAAUGGAGAAUAUUUGAGGUGUGCAUUUGUCGCUGAACCAUUUUCCAAGUUGUGUCCAAUUCUGCGAUUUUUGCGUUUUUAUUCUCUGUUUUUGGAUUGUGAAAAGAAACGGUUGGAAAGCAUGAGUGAACUUACAGCUGUUCUGUCGGAUCCAAAACAAUGGGACAAUCGAGAGAAUUGACAAACAAAAUACUAGCUUCGUAUGAUGAGAAUAUUGAUCCACAAGAUUACGACCCCUAUGAUUUAUACCUCCUGGGAAUGAUUAACCGACGACUUGAAGACACUGAUGUAUCAACAGAUUAUCUGAUGGCGUCUAUAUCUUCGAAUAACUAUAUUUGGGGGCAUGGGUGGAGUUGGCCUUUCUAAUUAUGGAUAGGAAGCGGUUAGGUUAUUGGAGCAAACACUACCCAAUUGUUGGAUGAAGUACUUCUUUGUCGGCCACAUCUCUUCAAAGCUUCACAUGAACGAGAAAGCACUUCGGACUUAUUUUGCACUUCAAAAGUCUGGGUUUCAUAACAGCGUGUAUAUUAAAACAUUGCUAUUGCGUAUCAUAAUGUACAACGUGUUGAUGAGAGGCGAUUGAUAUUCGAUUUAGAGGACAGAUUGGAUGAAAUGGAUCUUUAUUCGAAUAUGCUGUAUGUAAAACUAGAAAAAUACUUCCUGCUAGUUUAGCAAACAAGUCUGUUGAAAUCGAUAAAUAUAGGGUGGAAACAUGUUGCAUCAUAGUUCAACCAUUUAAACAGGUAACUUGCACAGUCUAAAGAGAGAACAUCCCAAAGCAAUAGAGUAUUUUGAAAGAGCUCUAAUUCACCCCUACUACUUAUCGGCUUGGACUCUUAUGUGUCGUGAGUUUAUGGAGUUAAAGAAUUCCAAUGCCGCGAUCCAAUGUUAUAGAGAAGCUGGUGAAGUGAACAAGCACGAUUAUCGACCUUGGAAUGGACUUGGACAGACCUACGACAUAUUAAACAUGUCUGGUUACAUAAGCAAGCGCAUCGUAUGCGACCGAAUGAUAGUAGAUUACUAAUUGCUCUUGGUGAAGCUUACGAGAAACUGGACAGGCCUCGAUGUGCUGGUAAAUGUUACGAGAGAGCAAGACAAUUGGGUGAUGAUGAAGGAUUGGCCAUUCUAAAUUUGGCAAAAAUGCUGAAUGGCACUGAUCCAGAGAAAGCAUGCAGAGCAUAUUUGGAGUAUUUAAAUGAAAAGGAUGCGCAGAAUGUGGCAGAUCGAGAUGAACAAGGAAAACCCCACAUUUUAUUGUCCAAUUACUACUUUACAAAGAAGGACUUCGAAAGUUCUCAUAAGCAUGCACUCAAAUGCUUAGAAUUCCC